GGAAGAGAAGGCGGGGCAAAUAGUGCUACGUGGCCUACGUGGCCUAGGCGGAACGUAGCGUGAUCUGGGCCUGCGCAGGAAGGAAACAGGGAAGGAUACAAGCUCAGAGAAUGAGAAAGAUGAAGGUCAUUCACCCUCCAGCCCUGCCUGGAGGACUCAGAAGGGCGUCCUGCUGGCCAGAGGAUGACAGAUGGCACCCCUUCCCUUGUAUGCAGGGGAGACUGCCUUGGCCUGAUUCUGUCCAGUUAACAAAACAGAGGGCUCUGCCAAGACAAACAGCCGAGGUAGCUGGAACCAAGGAAAGCAAAGCCACAGAUAUGGGAGGACUCGUAUUUUCUAGGCCUAAGAAUGGGGCACAGAGUUUGGCAACUGUACCUGCUCUUUGGAAGUAA
rnacentral:lncRNA from 1 species